GGACUUCCCGUGUGGCUCACAACAUAACUACUCGGCGUUGCUUCUACAGUGGCUGCUAGGGGUCCAAUCCGAGCUACAGCUGCCA
rnacentral:lncRNA from 1 species